CCUCAUGCCAAUUCCUUAAGUUUUUAUUGAGUCAAAAGCAAAGAAAAAGACACAUACAUUUACAGCACCAUUUCAACACAUAUAUAUUUGUAUAUGCAAAUGAAUAGAGUUUAUAUAUUUUACAUGAACUGAGUAUGAAAUAUUUUAAGAAAGAACUUUUGCUUUGAGCUUUGAUCUCCCAUUGUUUUCAAUUCUGCUGUGUCGAGUCUGUGGGCAUCGAGUUGGGUCAGGGGUUGUUGGCAGAGAGAGUCGAGAGAUGGAGGGAGGCAGGGCACGGCGGCGGCCUGCCGCUGCUGUCCGGCCAAGGGCGGAAGAUGGGGAGGGAGUCAUGGUCUGUGGGUGAGCGUCGAACUUGUGUAUGAGUUGAGGGAAGACUGAGAUGAUGGCGGUGGCUUUUGGCUGUAGACACCGGGAAUCAGGAGAGGGGAAAUAGAUGGAGGGAGGCGGCGGCACCUCGGCGUCGCCAAGGAGGAAGGCGGAGGCGCUGAAUCUCGCCGCUGCUUCGCGUCUGUGUGUCCAAGUGAGUCGGUUCUGGAGUUGCCAGAGAUGAGGGAAAAGAGAAGGGAAGGUGGGGUGUCGGAUCUGUUCAGCGAGAGGAAACGAGCGUCGGGCCUGCGGCGGACUCCGCUGUUUCGCCGGAGAGAAAGCCGCGGCGGCGGGUUUCGGCUGGAGAGGGGCGGAGUAUUUGUGUGCGUUCUGAUGAGGGAGAUCGAGGAAGAUGGAGGCGGCAGCCUUCCAGCCGUGAAUUCGCCGGAAGGGAGACUGCGGCGGCCGAGCUUUGAGAGAGAGGGGUGGGUCUGGCCUGAACCGAGAGAGGCGCGAGAGAGAGAUGAGUUGUGUGCGUGAGAGUGAAGGGAGGAAGAGAAGGGGAUUUAGGGUUGGUCUGUUGGGCUGGGUCUUGGGCCCAUUUUUAUGAGUGUUGGGCCUGUUUUAUUUAUUUAAUUAGUCCAUGUCUAUUCAUUUAUGUGGGCUGCGAAUUUUUAAGAAGUUGGGCCUUACAUUAAAUUAUUUUGGGCAGUCCACAUUUUAAUUAAUUUGAUUAUCAGUAGUUGAUUAAUUAUUUUAAAGACAAAUUGCAUAAUAAUAUUUUAUUAUUGUUAUGUGCAUAUUUUAAGUAAUUACUUAUCAUAUAUAUGCUAAGCAUGACAUGACAUUGCAUUUGCAUCAUGCAAUAAAAGUAUUCAUGAUUUAAUUGGUUUAUUUAUAAAUCCAAUUAUUUAAGAAAAUCGAGUAAGGAUAUUGUUGGUGUCCUUAACUCAAGAAUUUAGUUUUCAAUUAUUUAUUUACUAAAUUUUGGAAACCCGGCGUGAUGAAUCAAGUAUGUUUAGUACAUCCACUAAGACUUUAAGUUAGCUUCACGAGACCUAUUAAGAAUAGAAUUUCUUGUAGGCUUUGUGACCAGGGGGAUUAGCGCUGCUUUCCCAAGACAGGUUUUUAUGUGUAUGAUCUUCAGGCUUUGCCUAUCCAGGUUGGCUGGCCGGUGCUGACGGGACUGAGCUGAGGCUAGGGUUCAAUUUCUAUGUAGACUUCCGCUGUAGUAAUAACUCUUAUACAUCUUUUGUUUUCUCAACUUAAGAUGACUUCAUGUCGAGCUUCAAUUUAAAAUUUCUAGUUUCGAGUUAAUGAACGUCGGUUGUCAGAAACAUGAAACAAAACUUGUGAUCCAAAGGGGCCUAGCCCGACUCGUUAUCUUAUUAUUCGGGUUUUAACAAGGUUGUUCCUUGUUUAUUUCUAUGAAUUAGUUGCACCUCGAUUA